GAUGAACGCUGGCGGCGUGCCUAAUACAUGCAAGUCGAGCGAACGGACGAGAAGCUUGCUUCUCUGAUGUUAGCGGCGGACGGGUGAGUAACACGUGGAUAACCUACCUAUAAGACUGGGAUAACUUCGGGAAACCGGAGCUAAUACCGGAUAAUAUUUUGAACCGCAUGGUUCAAAAGUGAAAGACGGUCUUGCUGUCACUUAUAGAUGGAUCCGCGCUGCAUUAGCUAGUUGGUAAGGUAACGGCUUACCAAGGCAACGAUGCAUAGCCGACCUGAGAGGGUGAUAGGCCGCACUGGAGCUGAGACACGGUCCAGACUCCUACGGGAGGCAGCAGUAGGGAAUCUUCCGCAAUGGGCGAAAGCCUGACGGAGCAACGCCGCGUGAGUGAUGAAGGUCUUCGGAUCGUAAAACUCUGUUAUUAGGGAAGAACAUAUGUGUAAGUAACUGUGCACAUCUUGACGGUACCUAAUCAGAAAGCCACGGCUAACUACGUG
rnacentral:rRNA from 1 species